AUGUUGAGUAAUUUUUGUUUGAACUUAAUGGAGAUAAUGACUUUUGAACAUUUGCUUAUGAUGACAUCGUUGUUUAUUGCUGAUUUGAUAAUAACAUUAUUGUUGAUUUUGUUCUUGAUACUAUGGUUGAAUCAAAGGAUUAGAUUAUGUUGUUUUUUUGUUUAUGGAACUUUGAAUGAGGACUUUGAUGAUGAACCAUGUGUUUGUUUAAAUUGA